rnacentral:rRNA from 1 species
GAUGAACGCUGGCGGCGUGGAUUAGGCAUGCAAGUCGGACGGUAGAGCUUUAUCGUAAGAUAGAGUUUGAGAGUGGCGAACGGGUGAGUAACACGUAGGAAUCUACCCUUAAGACGGGGACAACCCAGGGAAACUUGGGCUAAUACCGGAUGAGAGUGCGAGAGAUUGCAUUUAAAAGGAUGGCGAAAGUUGUCGCUUAGGGAUGAGCCUGCGGUCUAUUAGUUAGUUGGUGAGGUAACGGCUCACCUAGGCAAUGAUAGGUAGGCGGCCUUAACGGGUGGUCGCCCACACUGGGAUUGAGAUACGGCCCAGACUCCUACGGGAGGCAGCAGUGGGGAAUAUUGCACAAUGGGCGAAAGCCUGAUGCAGCAACGCCGCGUGAGCGAUGAAGGCCUUCGGGUCGUAAAGCUCUGUCCUCAAGGAAGAUAAUGACGGUACUUGAGGAGGAAGCCCCGGCUAACUACGUGCCAGCAGCCGCGGUAACAUACUCGUA